UACGGAGGGUGCAAGCGUUAUCCGGAUUCACUGGGUUUAAAGGGUGCGUAGGAGGGCAGGUAAGUCAGUGGUGAAAUCUCCAAGCUUAACUUGGAAACUGCCGUUGAUACUAUCUGUCUUGAAUACCGUGGAGAUGAGCGGAAUAUGUCAUGUAGCGGUGAAAUGCUUAGAUAUGGCAUAGAACACCAAUUGCGAAGGCAGCUCGUUACACGAAUAUUGACUCUGAGGCACGAAAGCGUGGGGAUCAAACAGG
rnacentral:rRNA from 1 species